CUUACAGCAGUUUUUACAGGUUCUUUCCUCAAAGCUUGCAAGAAAUGUAGGAAUAUUCUGAAAGCACUGCAUCAGUGAAAAACUAUUUUUCUUCACUGCAUUAUAAGUUAAAUGCACGGUAGAUUUCGAAAGGAAAUGUGUAAAGUGAGGGCUACUGCUUACCAUUAUUCUUUAAGUUAAUGAAAACGGAUAUAAUCGAGUUACUUGUAUCACGUAGAUUAGUAAGUUUCUAUGAGAACCUCAAAUGAAUUCAAUCAGUAUUUAUGCACGUAUAUUCAAAGUCACUUAAGAUUGUUUUCUUUCCUCUCAUAGGGACAGCUGGGAAUCCUGCAUCUAAGAAAUGCUGCAAUCAGGAUCCAGCUUUUAUAGGCUCUCGGAAAAGGAGAGAUGCUCUGGUAUCCACCUUGGGCUGAGACUGAGAUUCCCAAAUUCUAACAUGUGUUGAAGCAAAGCUGUGUGUAGAUAAUUCCUGAGUAGCCAAGCAGAUUGUCCUGGCUGAUACUGAAAGCUGUUGGUACAGCAACUUCUACUACUGCUCCCUACAGUGACUGCAGUGGGUAGUGAGCAAGAUGGAUUUGGGAACCACCAAGCUGGAUGUGUUUAUUCAACUGCUGACUGAGAUCCUGACCUAUCCAAAUGCUCAGAAACUUGUGACCACCUCCUUUUUGUUGUUGUUUUUAAUCGUCUUUUUUUUCCUUUGGCCUCUGUAUGAGCUACAUGGCUGCAGUUGCCACAUCUUUAUGACGUGCUCUGUCUCUGUGGCUCUAAACAGAGGCUGUACCAUCUGCCUCCUUCUGGUCUGGCCUGAUACUUUCCUCUCUUUGGAACUGCCCAACUCAAUUUUGAAGAAGGAAAUGCAAAUGACUUGGACAUCAAUUCUGGUCAAAAACUGGUGGUAAACUAAAGCCAUGUGUGAAAAGUUGGCAUUUCUCUUUUCCCCAACUAAUUGUUAAUCAUGUGACAAAUUGGAGAUGGUGUAUCAGAGGGGAUAGGAUUUUAGCUCAGGAGAGUGAAGCUCUGUCUCUAGACAUUUCCCAUAACAGUGAGAUUUUCUGUCAGCUACAGCAGCCAUCACUUCUCUCUCCACAAAUUCAGUAUGCCCACGCAUGCCUUCUAUAGUAGCAACUCUGUCACCUUCUUGUCAUCCUAAGAAUGAGCAGACUUGACUCUAUCAGCAAGCAGCCUUGAUAGCCUAUCUGGAUACACUGUGCAUUUUUUCUGGCUGGAAGGCUAGCAAAUCACUUUUUAUGGGAACUUUGGAGUGGCAAGGAUAGUCUUUUGGGGCAUAUUUUCUUGCCCAAAGAGUAUUGGGUGAACUGCUAGGAACAAAAACUAUAUGCCUUAGCCAAAAGAAGAAAUUGCUCUUCAGAGGAUUGGAUACAUGGGGACAGGAAGAAAGAGAGAGAGAUGUGUUUAUCACAGAGAAAAGCUACCCAAUUGAGGAAAGUCUAGCAUGCUUCACUGUUUACCAUGAGCUCAGGGGACCAGAGAUCUUCUGAAGUGUGUAUCAUCUCCAGAAUUUCACUGGAUGCUUGCGUUCUCCAAACAAUCUCCAAUCUAACAAGCAAUGCUAUCAUGCAGUUGGUGAUACCCAGCC
rnacentral:lncRNA from 1 species